rnacentral:lncRNA from 1 species
GAAUAGAAUAGCAUAGAGGCAAGGGUCAGACAAUAGUUUACAUUUUUUGUCCUACAUAGAGGAUAGCUAGAAAAUUCUGUAUGGAGAAUUUUGUGUUUAAGGUUCUGUCUGCCGAAUAUUACUGGGCUUAAUUAUUGCCUGCAUGAUGAUGAUUAGGUAUUUUUUCCUAAGGGUUUUGGAAUACACAGGCUUCUAUAAGGUUCAGAGCUCAAUAGGCGAUUAGUAGGUUUUAUAUAGCUAUGUUUGAAUGACGUGCAGAGGAAUGGUUGGCCAGAGUCUUGCAGGGUAUAAAAUGAGAAAUCACCAUUCAUCCACGUCGCUCUAUUGAUUUCAAAGCAGUUGGGCCAAUUUGCACAGGCUGAGAAUAAGGACUGGAUAAUAGGAAGACUAACACUGUAAACUCUAACCUUGUGGUAUUAGAUUUCAGUUUGUCCAAAUGGCACAGGCUGUUCCACUUGCAUUUCUAGCAGCACACUUUUACCUGACCCAGCCUAUGAAAACAGUACAGCCAAGUAGCUCUAGUGCUCGGCUGCCUUUAUGUACUAGCAAAAGUAAUGACGCCUAGUAUGUAGUAUUAUUAUUUUAUGACAUCAGCAUAGUAUGACAUUUUCUCAAGGGCAGCCCAUAUCCCUUGCCCUCCUCCAUAUUGGCAGCCUUCACUAAUUGACUGUGAAAGUGGAGAAUUCAAUGGUUUAAGGUGAUCUCUUCUCUGAACUCCAAAACAGUUUGUGGAUGGAAAUCAGCUGAAGCAAAACAUUGGUUCAAUUACACUGUCAAGGGAUAUAGCUCCUGUACAACAAAGAGUGACCUUUCAGAGAAAAGAUGAAGCCAGCCUCAGGUUAACUCUGAAGGCCUCAGCUCAUCCAACUGAGAGCAGAUUAGCCCAGAUGGAGACAUUUUCAACACGGUUCUGUCUGACCAAUCAGCGACAGCUGGGAUUAGCCAAAUACCUUCUCUCAUCUGCUUGCUCACAGAAAGGGUUCUGUAAAAAGGCCUCAAUGUGAAAGCAUAUUGGGAUUUAAAUGAAUUAUCAUAGUGAGGACCUCAUUCUGAUGGCUACUGAUGUUUUGCUGUUGAUUUUUCAAGCAAAGUGACCCAACCUAGGAAGAAAAAGAAUACUUCCUAAAAGGGCAGAAAUGCUUUCCACUACUGAGGGAACUCAGUGUCCAAAUUAGAAGGAACGCAUCAGUAUUCUGCCUGAGGUUCUGGAUACCAAGCAGGAGCGGCUGCUUGAUAACCCAUGUUCAGGGUAUUAACAGAACAAAACCUAUUGAAAAGGGAUGAGAAGCUUGGAGAUGAGAAAAUGGGGAAAUGGAUCACUGUAAUACCAUUUCUGAACACAAGAUGAAUGAAAAUGUGAGUUAGCAUCCAAG